rnacentral:rRNA from 1 species
AGAGUUUGAUUCUGGCUCAGGAUGAACGCUAGCUACAGGCUUAACACAUGCAAGUCGAGGGGCAUCAUGAGAUUAGCUUGCUAAUCUGAUGGCGACCGGCGCACGGGUGAGUAACGCGUAUCCAACCUUCCCCUUAGUAGGGCAUAGCCCGGACGAAAGUCGGAUUAAUACCCUAUGUUGUCAAUAGAGGACAUCUGAAGCUGACUAAAGAUUAAUCGCUAAGGGAUGGGGAUGCGUCUGAUUAGGUGGUAGGCGGGGUAACGGCCCACCUAGCCGACGAUCAGUAGGGGUUCUGAGAGGAAGGUCCCCCACACUGGUACUGAGACACGGACCAGACUCCUACGGGAGGCAGCAGUGAGGAAUAUUGGUCAAUGGGCGUAAGCCUGAACCAGCCAAGUAGCGUGCAGGAUGACGGCCCUAUGGGUUGUAAACUGCUUUUAUGCGGGGAUAAAGUCACCUACGUGUAGGUGUUUGUAGGUACCGCAUGAAUAAGGACCGGCUAAUUCCGUGCCAGCCGCGGC